UAUAGAUGUAAAGACAGUAAUGUCAAAGUCGAGUAGUACUAAUAACCCGUAAGCUUAUGUGAAUCUCCCCUUGUUUAAAUACAAGGGGAGGGCAACUUUCUAAAGUAUAGUUAAGUUUAAAAUAUCAAUAUAGUUAAAAAUAUUAGUUACGCUAAUUGUGUAACAACCGAUUUAAGGUGGUUAUUGCAGCGGGGCUCACCUCUUCCCAUUUCGAACAGAGAAGUUAAGCCCGCUAGCGCAGAUGGUACUGCUAACCAGUGGGAGAGUAUGUCGCCGCCUUUC
rnacentral:rRNA from 1 species